rnacentral:rRNA from 1 species
UACGGAGGGUGCAAGCGUUAAUCGGAAUUACUGGGCGUAAAGCGCGCGUAGGCGGUAUUUUAAGUGGAGUGUGAAAUCCCCGGGCUUAACCUGGGAACUGCAUUUCAAACUGGGAUACUAGAGUGCAGUAGAGGGGAGUGGAAUUUCCGGUGUAGCGGUGAAAUGCGUAGAGAUCGGAAGGAACACCAGUGGCGAAGGCGACUCUCUGGACUGACACUGACGCUGAGGUGCGAAAGCGUGGGUAGCGAACAGG